rnacentral:rRNA from 1 species
AGAGUUUGAUCCUGGCUCAGAACGAACGCUGGCGGCAGGCCUAACACAUGCAAGUCGAACGAGAAGCCACCUUCGGGUGGUGGACAGUGGCAGACGGGUGAGUAACGCGUGGGAACGUGCCUUUCGGUUCGGAAUAACUCAGGGAAACUUGGGCUAAUACCGGAUACGCCCUUCGGGGGAAAGAUUUAUCGCCGAAAGAUCGGCCCGCGUCGGAUUAGCUUGUUGGUGGGGUAAAAGCCCACCAAGGCGACGAUCCGUAGCUGGUCUGAGAGGAUGAUCAGCCACACUGGGACUGAGACACGGCCCAGACUCCUACGGGAGGCAGCAGUGGGGAAUAUUGGACAAUGGGCGCAAGCCUGAUCCAGCCAUGCCGCGUGGGUGAAGAAGGCCCUAGGGUUGUAAACCCCUUUCAGCGGGGAAGAUAAUGACGGUACCCGCAGAAGAAGCCCCGGCUAACUCCGUGCCAGCAGCCGCGGUAAUACGGAGGGGGCUAGCGUUGUUCGGAAUUACUGGGCGUAAAGCGCGCGUAGGCGGACUUUCAAGUCAGGGGUGAAAUCCCGAGGCUCAACCUCGGAACUGCCUCUGAUACUGUAAGUCUUGACACCGAAAAAAGGUUGAUCGAAAUUCCCUAGUGUAGAGGGUGAAAUUUCUUAGAAUAUUAAGGAAAAAACACCCUGUGGCCAAAAGGCGGCUUCCCCU